AAAGAAAAAAAAGAGUAAAGUUCGACCAGUCCCCUCCAUCUCCGAAAUCCCUAAUAUGCUCAGUUGUGUCUGAGCUGAGCUUCUAAAUCCCUAAUCUGCUCUACCCAGUCCCUUCUGUCUCCAAUUCUCCUUCAACCUUACAUCUUCUGUGCCUGACGACCAGAAAGGCGAAGACCGCUGUGAAGGCCAGCUGGGUGGAACUGAGGAGGGAUGAGAUAGAGAUGGGGAGGUACGAUAGCCCGAAUGUGUAUAUGUAGCCAUCGAGGCCGAGGAAGAGCCCGAGGCCCACGCUAGCCAGGACUAGUCAAUGGUUGAUAAGCACACGCGGGGCAUGGACCUGGGACUGGUUAGGACCCCUGACACGCGAUAGCAUGUGGGAGAAGGCGAUUGGGAUGAGAAGCAUCGGGAAGCCUGUUGUGAAGAGCCACGCAUUGAACCAUUUGCGCCUCUCGCCAGGGAGGUAGUAUACAUGAAGGGCGCAGUUGAACAGUACGAGGAUGAUGCUGUUUAUUUGGUCCUUCCUGAUCAUCCUUUUCCCCUGCUACUGUUGGGUCCUUAGGGCAGCUCGUUCAAACAGUUGAGGGAAUGUUCGACAAUCUCCCAGCACCAGCGCUUCCUUGAUGGGCCCAUGCAGGUUAUUGAUAACCAUAUGUACUGCAUCUUCCUUUUCUAUGUUCCAUUUUGCUUUAGUUGCUAAAUUCCUCCAUCGAUUAAAGAUAAUGAUUUCAAAACCAGGCUGCAUUUUUUCAUUCACCAGAUCCAGUAUCAGCCGUUUCUUGUGUUGUUUCCUCUAUCGCGCUGCUGCAAGUCUGGGCGCGACCAAGAAGACAAUGAGUUAAGUGUAUCUGGUUUUCGGUGUUUAAUCAUCCUCUCAUGUGCAACACCAUUAAUGAAUAUGCAGCUGAAGAGCAGUAAUUCGUUACUUGAAUGAAUCAGCUCCAUAUAUUAGGUCCUGUCCUGAUCCCAUGGCUGCUGUUUGUCUUGGUCAAUUCAUAGACAUGAGCAUGUGCAUUUGUUUCAUUUAUGCAAGUUUUGGCAUGA